ACUGAACGCUGGCGGCAGGCCUAACACAUGCAAGUCGAGCGAGCGGCGGACGGGUGAGUAAUGUUUGGGAAACUGCCUGUUGGAUGGGGAUAACUACUGGAAACGGUAGCUAAUACCGCAUAACAUCAGAUGUGCCCAGAUGGGAUUAGUUAGUAGGUGGGGUAACGGCUCACCUAGGCGACGAACCCUAGCUGGUCUGAGAGGAUGACCAGCCACACUGUAACUGAGACACGGUCCAGACUCCUACGGUAGGCAGCAGUGGGGAAUAGUGCACAAUGGGCGAAAGCCUGAUCCAGCAAUGCCGCGUGUGUGAAGAAGGCCUUCGGGUUGUAAAGCACUUUCAGCGGGGAGGCGUUACCCGCAGAAGAAGCACCGGCUAACUACGUGCCAGCAGCCGCGGUAAUAC
rnacentral:rRNA from 1 species